rnacentral:rRNA from 1 species
AGUGAACGCUGGCGGCAGGCCUAACACAUGCAAGUCGAGCGGCAGCGGGUCCUUCGGGAUGCCGGCGAGCGGCGGACGGGUGAGGAAUGCGUCGGAAUCUGCCUUUUUGUGGGGGAUAACGUAGGGAAACUUACGCUAAUACCGCAUACGACCUACGGGUGAAAGUGGGGGACCGCAAGGCCUCACGCAGAAAGAUGAGCCGACGUCGGAUUAGCUAGUUGGCGGGGUAAAGGCCCACCAAGGCGACGAUCCGUAGCUGGUCUGAGAGGAUGAUCAGCCACACUGGAACUGAGACACGGUCCAGACUCCUACGGGAGGCAGCAGUGGGGAAUAUUGGACAAAGGGCGCAAGCCUGAUCCAGCCAUGCCGCGUGUGUGAAGAAGGCCUUCGGGUUGUAAAGCACUUUUGUCCGGAAAGAAAUCCUGUCGGCUAAUACCCGGCGGGGAUGACGGUACCGGAAGAAUAAGCACCGGCUAACUUCGUG